rnacentral:rRNA from 1 species
AGCAGCCGCGGUAAUUCCAGCUCCAAUAGCGUAUAUUAAAGUUGCUGCAGUUAAAAAGCUCGUAGUUGAAUUUCGGGACCAAUAUGUCGGUCGUGCCUUUGGUACGUACGGGUGUAAUUGGUUUCUACCUUCUGAGGAUUCUUGAUGUCAUUAAUUUGGUGUCUUGGGGAAUCAGGACUGUUACCUUGAAAAAAUUAGAGUGUUUAAAGCAGGCAUACGCUUGAAUACAUUAGCAUGGAAUAAUGAAAUAGGACGUUCGAUUCUAUUUUGUUGGUUUCUAGGAUCGACGUAAUGAUUAAUAGGGAUAGUUGGGGGCAUUAGUAUUCAAUUGUCAGAGGUGAAAUUCUUGGAUUUAUUGAAGACUAACUACUGCGAAAGCAUUUGCCAAGGAUGUUUUCAUUAAUCAAGAACGAAAGUUAGGGGAUCGAAGACGAUCAGAUACCGUCGUAGUCUUAACCAUAAACUAUGCCGACUAGGGAUCGGAUGAUGUUAAUUUUUAAUGACUCAUUCGGCGCCUUAA